GGGCGUUUGGCACAGUGGUAGCGCGCCUGCUUUGCAUAUUACGUGUCACGUGAUACGACUGCAUGAGGUCGAGGGUUCAAACCCCUCAACGUCCA